rnacentral:misc_RNA from 1 species
CAAAUUCAUGGUUCCCACUGUGGGAGGGAAGCCUCUUGAUCUUCACCUUCUUUUUGUGGAGGUAACAUCUCGUGGUGGCCUUGAGAAGGUAAUUAGAGAUCGUAAAUGGAAGGAAGUGAUAGCAGCCUUCAAUUUCCCAUCAACAAUUACCAGCGCCUCUUUUGUCUUAAGGAAGUAUUACCUAUCAUUACUUUACCACUUUGAGCAGGUCUAUCACUUCCACAAACAAGUCCCUUCAGUCUCAAUUCCAG